GGCCCCAUCGUCUAUCGGUUAGGACACUUGGUUCUCAUCCAGGAAAGCGGAGUUCGAUUCUCCGUGGGGCUGCCA
rnacentral:tRNA from 1 species